CAGUGUCAAGAUAAUAGACCAAAAAUGAAUGGCUUUCUUUCCAAGAGUGUCAGAAUAUCAAAAUAGUUGUCAGGAUAUCGAUCUUUUAAACAUCUAAAUAGAACAGUCGAACAGACCCGUCUACAUACAUUCUAAUUCGUCUUUCCAUAAAAUACAGUUUGUGAUUUCUAUUUAGAAUGUGCGUGUAUCUAGGAAAAUAUCGCAUAUAUUUGUCCUUUCAAUUUUGACCUUUACCACCGGAAAAAAAGUUUUUGUCAUGUUUAAUGUUCUGUUUGAAAUUUUGAAGUCAUGUUGUGUCGGAUUACCUAACACGACGUAAAUGUGUUCAUGUUUGUUUAUUUUCUUUCUUUCUACAUUACACAUAUUGUGAAUGUAAAUAUUCGUCUAUUUUUAUAAACCAAGGUCACUAUACUAAGGUCAAAACGAAGAUAAAAGGGAAAGGUCUCGUUCUGUAAUAAAAUUCUCUUUUUAUGCAUAACUAUGUAUACACUUGCCCCAUCUAAUGUUCAUGUUGCACUUCUCAGUAUGAAUCUAUAGUUUAGACGUGAAACUAAAUAAAACUUGCGUAUGAAAUUAUCUUGUAAAAAAAAUAUACGUGUAAACAUAAUAGUAGUCGUCUAGAUCGUGUCUAGGAAAUCCACCAAAAAGGGGCUGUUUCUGAGAAGCUUAUAGGGAAAUAUUCACGGCUAAAGUGUGAUCCGCCCUUGCAAACGUUGCGACAGCCGAAUACAAAAUCCCAGAUCUAGCUACAGUUAUAAUGACCCUUUGAUUAUACACAUUUACCUUUCUGUUUGUUGUUUUGUGUGCGCUAUUUAUAGAACUAUAUAAGGUCAUGCUUAUUAAAUUAAAAGAGUCUGGCAACAUACGAUACAAAAGGUACAAUAAGGAUUUUUCUGCCUGGUCACAUUUACUUGUGAAAUACAAUCCGUAUUUUUGACAGAAUUUAUAUAGGUAUAUAAUAAACAUAUUAGCAUACUAACUGCUAACAUGAAAUUUCGUAUCAUCUCUUUCUAAUGAAAAUGUCUUGUUGACGUUUAACUUAUUUAAACAGAGUUAUACUAACAUCACUUUACAAUAGUUUAUCAAACUUUAAGUUUACGUCAGUAACUUGAAAACAGAUUUGCGGACUUCUUAAUAUAUGAAUUUAAUUAAAGUCCUUGUCAGUAAUUUAAGUUAGAAUUUUAAGAUAAACCAUUUGUUUUCAAUUUUUGGAUAUUCAAUGAAAACAUUUAGUUACAAUUAGAUAAAGCACACUUGACUGAAUCAUAUUGAAAGUCCUAAUUAACUAAGUAUGAUCUUAAUUUAGUUCUACACAGUUGAUAAACCUUAGCGUCAUUUAUCCGGAUAACGUAGAAUAAAUCCCAGACUCGACAAACGGAAAUGAAAUUCAUUUCAUGAAUUAAUGAUAACCCAUGAGUAUAUUUCUGAAAAUGUUAACGUUUCUAUCUUUCUAAAGGUAAAAUAUGAGAAUUAAACGUUUGGCACGUGAAGUUUUUUCCAAAUAAUGUCUUAAAGUCAGCUUGAAAUGUGAGGAAUCUUUUUAUCUGUGGGCAAAUAUCUCAAAGACAAACAUACUUCAGAUUUCACGAUAUUAUGGACCAUAUGUUUAUUUUAGACUGUGAGAAGUUUCAUCAAUAUCCACAGUAGAAAAAAAAUUCUAACGUUUCUAAUAUUUAACCAAAAUGUUAACAAAAUUAUGAUUUUCCCAUAGACUUCCAUUAUGGAAAUAUAUGGGGUCAAAUAUUUUUAUUCAGUUUAGCCAAAAAUUGACUGAAUUUUCGAAUUAUAUUCGGUAGAUUUUAAAACCAGGGAAUAAUCAAAGUUUACGUUGUAGACAAUAUUUUGAUCCGAACGUGCAGAACUACCUCAAUGCCAAGUAGGCCUUCAGAUCCUACAGAUUACUAUGACCUUUUUUUAAAUUUAUCUCUUAAUGUCACGAAAGACAUAUCAAUUCAACAUUUCAUACUUCAAAGUAACAGAAAAAGGGAAUGUUAAAGUCUUAAUAAGACUGUGUUCCUUCUUUAUUUUAAAAUGAGUUCAGGUCCAAGUUCUAUGGAAAUACGACAGGCAGCAGCUAGUGAUAAGGAAUCUGUUAUCUGUAUCCACUGGAAACGUAUAUGACGGGUUAGACUACAUUGCUGAGUAUUUCGACGACUUUCUUGCAUGUCCUCUUACUACACCAUACGUUGCUGUCGUCCAGAACAAAAUCGUUGGCUUUAUUGCAACGUUUAUUGUUGACCAAGGCAAGACAGUAAUAACACGUGCUGGAAGACUGAGUGCGAGUGUUGGUGGGCAGGGUUUGUACAAGCAGUUUCAAGCCCACGUGCUUAAAAUGUCGGGGACAUCAAGGCAUGCGUUCACUGCUUUGAACACAAAUCCCGCCGCUAACAAGGAGACAUUUAGAGCUGUAAACAAGCUCAUACUGUCUAAGCCUCUCACUAGAUUCCUGUUUGACGCUCAUGUUUUGCAAUCUCUGGAAGAAUCUAGAAAGAAAACAUUGAAUGACCCGUCGGAUGAAGACAUCAAACAUUUCUUUUCCAGUCCUGCUAUUAGAAAAUACUUAUUUCCAAAGGAAAGGAUCAUUGUAGAUUGGGUGCCCUAUAGACUAACGGAAGCUAAUAUUUCAUUACUUUGUUGGUCUGGCAAAAGGACGAAGGUCUUUUCUGACAUUUCAGUCGAUACUGAUGGAAGUGUCAGGGGCCUCUUGACUUUUUCAACGAUCAUACCUGUCAAGAGACCGGCAUACAAUUGUAACUUCGACAUUUAUGGUACAGAUACCGCGACAUUAAAGGAUCAUGUGAUUUCUCAUAUGCGAUACAUACGAGUUAAGACAAUCGACAGUACUAGUCUUCUAGUUUUGGUGGAGCCAGAUUUUAAUAUACAUGCUUUGGAAGAUGUGUUUAGAGAAAUCGGGAUGCAGAGAAGUGAAUGGCGCGAUUCUGAAAAUCCUGACAAUAUUUACUCUUAUCAGUUACUGUUUGAAAAGGAAAUAUGAAUAUUCAAUAUUGAAACAUGUGACUUCUGAUUCAUUCUGUGAUCUUCAAUAUGUAGAGAACUAUCAAAUAACGCACAGUAACUGUAAUAAGUGAAUGUACAUAAUAAAUAUAUCAACUCAAAAACUAUUGAACGUUUCACCAUUUUUGCAAAAAUACAAAUCCAAUACUGCGGAUCAGAAAUUUGCAGCUUAUUUAAAACCUUGUGUAAGCUGUAUUGUAUAACGUAUGGCUCUGUCUAUAGUGCAGUUAUUAUCAUUAUAUUUUAUUUGUUGUUAUUAUUAUUGUUAUUGUAAACAAGAAGAAAAUUUUAACGAAGCAGUUUACUUGUGUGUUGGUAAUACCUCGGUGUGUUCGACAUACAUAUAGCAUCCACAUGUACUUUAAACGCAACCCAGUUCAAAUUAAAAUUACCUAACGCGA
rnacentral:misc_RNA from 1 species